CAUAGUUCAUGGACCCCUCAAUACUCGUACAUAACCCACACAUGUGUCUACAGAGCCUCUAAGUAUACAAAAGAUAAGUAUGACAAUGCCGGCAAUAAGGCCUCGUUUAUACCUCAAAAGUGGAAGUCCACAACGAAAAAAUAUAUACAAUACAAUCCCUUGAAGGAGAAAGGGGCUCACCAAGACUUGAGAAGAAGGUGAUCCGCUACGCGCGAUUUGCACUAUCUGCAAUUGAGCUACCCACAUUCAUUAAAAAAUGUAGUGCCCCGGGCAAAAGGGAUGUUAGUACCAUGGAAUAGUACUAGUAUGUAUAACCAAACACCAUUUUACUAGAAAGAACUAUCAAGCAUGAACAAGGAAAUCACAAGAUCAAAGGUUUUAACCGGACACCACAUUAUCAAAUAAUUGAACCAUAUAAUCUUUCACAUAAUUUUCAUAACUAGGUUUGUGGCAUUUCUUUCAUAUGUUCAACACUGUCCUCAAUACCACCGCUAUCUUGAAUGGAGUCCGAUCACGACCCGAUCGCCUAGGUUGCCUCAUUCGAGGUAUAUAUCCCAAUCAUCAUUUCAUUUCUCUUUUUCCAGAAUUCAAUGUUAGCACAUUACCACCAUGUGUGAGGCAUGGUAUCCGAUUAUGGCCCGAUCAGCUAGGCCACCGUACCUAGGCUUUGUCCUUUAUCAUUGAUCAUCUCAUUUGAAUCUUUGUUUCACAUAGCUCAUAUCAACUCAUUGGCACUUAGGGCCACAGUUAUCAUAUCAUUUCAUUUUCAAUAUCUUUCUUGCAAUUUCAUGAUCGUAGGGACACACAAGUAAUUCAAGUUGCAAACACACGUAUAUCUUUCUGUAAACUAGACACAAAGGGCUACAACUUUCAUUUUUGAAUCAUCUCAAAAUUCCUUAUAGAUCAAAAGAUAUAGGCUUUCAACAUUGGACCAGUGAAUUGUUCUUCACUGCGUAUCGCACCAAAACUAGUGCGGCCGCACAAGCUCCUCUGCGGCAGUAGUCCAUAUCGUGGGGACUGCACUACCCUGUUCAGAGGUCUUGCACCUCUCUGAGCCUGCAACAUCUCUAUUUUUAAGCCUAAGACACCUCGGAAUCUACCCGAAACUUACCUGAGCUCUCGGAACUCCAAACCAAGUGUACACAAAACUUCAAAAACAUCCUACGGACUUAUUCGUGUAAUCAAAACAUCAAAAUAACAUCAUGAACAUCAAAUUAAAUCUCGAGAUCAAUGAAAUUUUCUCAUAACUUCUUUAAACAUCAAUUUUAUAAUUUGAGUGCGAAUCACAUCAAAUGACAUCCGUUUUUCACCAAAUUCUAUAGAAACGUCUGAAAUUAUAUAUAUAAGACUUGUACAGGGCACCAGAACCGAAAUACAGGUCUGAUACCAUCAUGUUCCAAGUGAAUUUCAUUUCAAAUUUCUUUAAAUAAUUUUCUUUAAAAAUUCAUUUAUCGGGCUUGAGACCUCGGAAUUCGAUUCCGGGCAUACGUCCAAGUCUCAUAUUUUCCUAUGAAUCCUCCGGGACCUCAAAUUAGGGUCCGGGUCCGUUUACCCAAAACAUUAAUCGAAGUCAAAUUAAAUUAUUUUAUAGCCAAAUUUUCAUAUUUAAGCUUUUCGCCUACGUGUUCGGACUACGCACGCAAAUCGAGACGAGGCUGAGAGAGAUUUUUAAGGCCUCGGACACACAGAAUUUAAUUCAAACAAAUAGUUACCAUGCUUGACAAUAUAAGAAAAUUUCUUGCAUUUAAGAAAGUUAUAAUAUUUUUCUUUACUAUGUAUAUUCUUUAUUCAAUGUAAAUAGGAUUUUUCCCUUCAGCAAGGCACGUUCAGUUUCAGUCGUUGGUAUUAUCCUAAAGAAGCUAAGACAUUCAUGUGUUUUCACUUAGUGUGGUUCUCACUAGUUCCACCUUCCUUAUAGUUCACGACUUUUUUUUAAAAAAGUCGUGUGCAAUUACAAC
rnacentral:lncRNA from 1 species